rnacentral:rRNA from 1 species
AGAGUUUGAUCCUGGCUCAGGAUGAACGCUGGCGGCGUGCUUAACACAUGCAAGUCGAAUGUAGCAAUACAUGGCGGACGGGUGAGUAACGCGUGAGCAAUCUGCCCAUAUCUGGGGGAUAACCGUUGGAAACGACGGAUAAUACCGCAUAACGUCAUUGGAAGGCAUCUUCCUUUGAUCAAAGAUUUAUCGGAUAUGGAUGAGCUCGCGUCUGAUUAGCUUGUUGGUGGGGUAACGGCUCACCAAGGCGACGAUCAGUAGCCGACCUGAGAGGGUGAUCGGCCACAUUGGAACUGAGACACGGUCCAAACUCCUACGGGAGGCAGCAGUGGGGAAUAUUGGUCAAUGGAGGAAACUCUGAACCAGCAACGCCGCGUGAAUGAUGAAGGUCUUCGGAUUGUAAAGUUCUUUUCUAAGGGAAGAAGAAAGUGACGGUACCUUAGGAAUAAGCCUCGGCUAACUACGUGCCAGCAGCCGCGGUAAUACGUAGGAGGCAAGCGUUAUCCGGAAUGACUGGGCGUAAAGGGUGCGUAGGUGGUUUGGUAAGUUGGUAGCGUAACUCCGGGGCUCAACUCCGGCACUACUACCAAAACUGCCGGACUUGAGUGCAGGAGGGGCAACCGGAAUUCCUAGUGUAGCGGUGGAAUGCGUAGAUAUUAGGAGGAACACCAGAGGCGAAGGCGGGUUGCUGGACUGUAACUGACACUGAGGCACGAAAGCGUGGGGAGCAAACAGGAUUAGAUACCCUGGUAGUCCACGCCGUAACGAUGAAUACUAGGUGUAGGGGGUAUCGACUCCCU